UAUGGCUUCGCGGUGCACAUGAAGAUGUACC
rnacentral:piRNA from 1 species